rnacentral:rRNA from 1 species
UACGGGGGGGGUAAGCGUUGUUCGGAAUUACUGGGCGUAAAGGGCUCGUAGGCGGCCAACUAAGUCAUACGUGAAAUCCCUCAGCUUAACUGGGGAACUGCGUCUGAUACUGGAUGGCUUGAGUUUGGGAGAGGGACGCGGAAUUCCUGGUGUAGCGGUGAAAUGCGCAGAUAUCAGGAGGAACACCGGUGGCGAAGGCGGGUCUCUGGGCCGAUACUGACGCUGAGGAGCGAAAGCGUGGGGAGCGAACAGG